AUUGAACGCUGGCGGCAUGCCUUACACAUGCAAGUCGAACGGCAGCGGACCUUCGGGUGCCGGCGAGUGGCGAACGGGUGAGUAAUAUAUCGGAACGUACCUUUCAGUGGGGGAUAACGUAGCGAAAGUUACGCUAAUACCGCAUAUUCUGUGAGCAGGAAAGCAGGGGAUCGCAAGACCUUGCGCUGAUUGAGCGGCCGAUAUCAGAUUAGCUAGUUGGUGAGGUAAAGGCUCACCAAGGCGACGAUCUGUAGCGGGUCUGAGAGGAUGAUCCGCCACACUGGAACUGAGACACGGUCCAGACUCCUACGGGAGGCAGCAGUGGGGAAUUUUGGACAAUGGGCGCAAGCCUGAUCCAGCCAUGCCGCGUGAGUGAAGAAGGCCUGGUUGUAAGACGUCUUUCGGUCCGGGA
rnacentral:rRNA from 1 species